UACAGAGGGUGCGAGCGUUAAUCGGAAUUACUGGGCGUAAAGCGCGCGUAGGCGGCUUUGCAAGUCGGGUGUGAAAUCCCCAGGCUUAACCUGGGAACUGCAUUCGAGACUGCAUUGCUAGAGUAUGGGAGAGGGAAGUGGAAUUUCCGGUGUAGCGGUGAAAUGCGUAGAUAUCGGAAGGAACAUCAGUGGCGAAAGCGACUUCCUGGACCUGCACUGACGCUCAUGCACGAAAGCGUGGGGAGCAAACAGG
rnacentral:rRNA from 1 species